AAAGGCUUUCAAAGUUGUGAGGACCACCAAAUUGUCCUCACAAGAACGGUCCUCACAAGAACAGUCCUCACAAGAACGGUCCUCACAAAGAACGCUCCUCACAAACACCUGUCCUCACAAAGAACGAUCCUCACAAAGAACGAUCCUCACAAGAACGGUCCUCACGAGAACGGUCCUCACGAGAACGGUCUUCACAAAAGAACGGUCCUCACAAGAACGUUCCUCAAAAGAACGUUCCUCACAAGAACGCUCCUCACAAACACCUGUCCUCACAAAGAACGGUCCUCACAAAGAACGGUCCUCACAAAGAACGGUCCUCACGAGAACGGUCUUCACAAAAGAACGGUCCUCACAAAGAACUGUCUUCACAAAGAACGGCCUUCACAAAGAACGGUCCUCACAAGAACGGUCUUCACGAGAACGGUCCUCACAAGGGUAGCAAAAAGUGCUCACACGCACACAAACACACACUCUGUCUCACUCACUCAACGACCCCCUCCACACACUUCUGUUAGCUGAAACACAGACACGGACAUUUAUAAAGGGACUUUAGUGGAAAGAAUGAAUAUAUGAAUGUACAAAAACCAGCUCUGCAGGAAAAAUCACCAACAGCUGGAAAAUAGGCAGAGCGCCUUCCUCUCGGCUCACAUUCGGCUGUUUUUAGCAAGAGCCCUUUAAUGGCAGUCAACAGCUGAAUUACUGGACCCUGUAUUCAGAUUAGCACUCCAUCAAAUACAGUCAAAAAAUCAGCACUGUCAGCAUCACUCCCUAAUUAACCCAUCGAUGGCAGCCAGAACAGAACAGGGUAAUGUAAGAAAAUCACGCCAGCCGGCCUCAGCCUCACACACACCAAGCAGAUCAGGAUUAAAGGGCAUGUUGUUACACUGCAAUACAUUUGUACAGCACAACAGUUUUUGGUCUGAGUCCAUAUCACUUUUUAAACAGAGGUAUUAUUAUUAUCCAAGGCCAGAAUUUAUAUCACCACCUAACGGCUGCCGAUUUAAAACCUCCCUUUAGAUCUGCACCAAAACGACUUUCCCUUGUUUACAGUAAAGCUCAGACGCAACGAAACAAGCAUCUGGUUCUUCUUUAGUUUCGACGAUUUUUGCCUACAAAAGAAUGUGCUCUCAAAAAUCAAACCAUCACAAUCAAAUCUGAUCGCUUUUAAUUCACUUCUCCCAUCUAAAACCUAGAGAGGAAGUAGCAUUUCAGCAGGAACAGCUCUUCCUCCUAAAACGUGACAGCAAAGUCACUUUAAACCCCCCAUAAACCACCCGACCCAACCACUAACGCACCAAAACCCCAGUACAAACCAGUCAGUGUAAUCACAUUGCUUUGCCCCUCGUCACCAAACACACACACACACACACACCACAGAACAAAUACCACCACAGGAAAUCUCCAAAACAAUAAAACUGUAACCAAACAAAGUGCA
ensembl:lncRNA